rnacentral:rRNA from 1 species
AGAGUUUGAUCCUGGCUCAGAAUCAACGCUGGCGGCGUGCCUAACACAUGCAAGUCGAACGCGAAAGUGGAGCAAUCCAUGAGUAGAGUGGCAAACGGGUGAGUAACGCGUGGGCGACCUACCUCAGAGUGGGGGAUAACCUUCCGAAAGGAGGGCUAAUACCGCAUGACAUACCGUGUUUGGAUACACGGAUAUCAAAGCCGGGGAUCGCAAGACCUGGCGCUUGGAGAGGGGCCCGCGUCCGAUUAGCUAGUUGGUGAGGUAACGGCUCACCAAGGCUCCGAUCGGUAUCCGGCCUGAGAGGGCGGACGGACACACUGGAACUGAGACACGGUCCAGACUACUACGGGAGGCGGCAGUGGGGAAUUGUUCGCAAUGGGCGCAAGCCUGACGACGCAACGCCGCGUGGAGGAUGAAGACUUUCGGGUCGUAAACUCCUUUCGACCGAGAUGAAUUUCCCACGACCUAACACGUCGUGGGAGUGACAGUAUCGAGGGAAGAAGCCCCGGCUAACUCCGUGCCAGCAGCCGCGGUAAUACGGGGGGGGCAAGCGUUGUUCGGAAUUACUGGGCGUAAAGGGUUUGUAGGUGGCUUGUUAAGUCAGACGUGAAAUCCCUCAGCUUAACUGGGGAACUGCGUCUGAUACUGGCGAGCUUGAGUGCAGGAGAGGAACGCGGAAUUCCAGGUGUAGCGGUGAAAUGCGUAGAUAUCUGGAGGAACACCGGUGGCGAAGCGGCGUUCUGGACUGC